rnacentral:rRNA from 1 species
GAUGAACGCUGGCGGCGUGCCUAAUACAUGCAAGUCGAGCGAACAGACGAGGAGCUUGCUCCUCUGACGUUAGCGGCGGACGGGUGAGUAACACGUGGAUAACCUACCUAUAAGACUGGGAUAACUUCGGGAAACCGGAGCUAAUACCGGAUAAUAUAUUGAACCGCAUGGUUCAAUAGUGAAAGACGGUUUUGCUGUCACUUAUAGAUGGAUCCGCGCCGCAUUAGCUAGUUGGUAAGGUAACGGCUUACCAAGGCAACGAUGCGUAGCCGACCUGAGAGGAGGAGCGGCAGCAGGAGGAAGGAGACAGGGGUGAGAAUGAGAAGGGAGGCAGCAGGAGGGAAUGGUGAGGGAGUUGCGAAGGACGGAAGGAGCAAAGCAGGGGGAGAGAUGAAGGGAGGAGCAUCGUAAAACUCUGUUAGGAGGCAAAAACAAAAGUGGAAGGAAAGAUGAACGGCUGCAAGGGCGAUAAGAAGAGAACAACGGCGAAGUAGGGU